rnacentral:rRNA from 1 species
CCCCUAGAUGUUCUGGGCCGCACGCGCGCUACACUGAACAGUUCAACAAGUCUUAACCUUGGCCGAUAGGUCUGGGUAAUCUUUGAACGCUGUUCGUGAUUGGGAUAGACCUUUGCAAUUAUGGGUCUUCAACGAGGAAUUCCUAGUAAACGCAAGUCAUCAGCUUGCAUUGAUUACGUCCCUGCCCUUUGUACACACCGCCCGUCGCAUCUACCGAUUGAAUGGUCCGGUGAAAUCUCGGGACGGCGGCUUGGUCGCUUGCGUCCGACUGCUGAAACUUGAUUAAACCAUAUCAUUUAGAGGAAGGUGAAGUCGUANCA